UAGGUAGCAUUGAAUGCUGCAGCAGGUGGAUUAUAGACAAUGAAAAAGCUGCAGAUACAGUCUUCAUCUGAUGCAGCAUUUCCGUUGCCUAUAAUCCACCUGCUACAGCAUUCACUGCUUAGCCUG
rnacentral:pre_miRNA from 1 species